rnacentral:rRNA from 1 species
UGAAUUGACGGGACCGCACAAGCGGUGGAUGAUGUGGUUUAAUUCGAUGCAACGCGAAAACCUUACCCACCUUUGACAUGUACGGAACUUGCCAGAGAUGGCUUGGUGCCCGAAAGGGAGCCUAGACACAGGUGCUGCAUGGCUGUCGUCAGCUCGUGUCGUGAGAUGUUGGGUUAAGUCCCGCAACGAGCGCAACCCUUGUCAUUAAUUGCCAUCAUUCAGUUGGGCACUUUAAUGAGACUGCCGGUGACAAACCGGAGGAAGGUGGGGAUGACGUCAAGUCCUCAUGGCCCUUAUGGGUAGGGCUUCACACGUAAUACAAUGGUCGGUACAGAGGGUUGCCAACCCGCGAGGGGGAGCCAAUCCCAGAAAACCGAUCGUAGUCCGGAUUGUAGUCUGCAACUCGACUGCAUGAAGUCGGAAUCGCUAGUAAUCGCGGAUCAGCAUGUCGCGGUGAAUACGUUCCCGGGCCUU